rnacentral:rRNA from 1 species
GACGAACGCUGGCGGCGUGCUUAACACAUGCAAGUCGAACGGAAAGGCCCUGCUUUUGUGGGGUGCUCGAGUAGCGAACGGGUGAGUAACACGUGAGUAACCUGCCCUUGACUUUGGGAUAACUUCAGGAAACUGGGGCUAAUACCGGAUAGGAGCUCCUGCUGCAUGGUGGGGGUUGGAAAGUUUCGGCGGUUGGGGAUGGACUCGCGGCUUAUCAGCUUGUUGGGGGGGUAGUGGCUUACCAAGGCUUUGACGGGUAGCCGGCCUGAGAGGGUGACCGGCCACAUUGGGACUGAGAUACGGCCCAGACUCCUACGGGAGGCAGCAGUGGGGAAUAUUGCACAAUGGGCGGAAGCCUGAUGCAGCAACGCCGCGUGCGGGAUGACGGCCUUCGGGUUGUAAACCGCUUUCGCCUGUGACGAAGCGUGAGUGACGGUAAUGGGUAAAGAAGCACCGGCUAACUACGUG